rnacentral:rRNA from 1 species
GAUGAACGCUGGCGGCGUGCCUAAUACAUGCAAGUCGAGCGAACGGACGAGAAGCUUGCUUCUCUGAUGUUAGCGGCGGACAGGUGAGUAAAACGUGGAUAACCUACCUAUAAGACUGGGAUAACUUCGGGAAACCGGAGCUAAUACCGGAUAAUAUUUUGAACCGCAUGGUUCAAAAGUGAAAGACGGUCUUGCUGUCACUUAUAGAUGGAUCCGCGCUGCAUUAGCUAGUUGGUAAGGUAACGGCUUACCAAGGCAACGAUGCAUAGCCGACCUGAGAGGGUGAUCGGCCACACUGGAACUGAGACACGGUCCAGACUCCUACGGGAGGCAGCAGUAGGGAAUCUUCCGCAAUGGGCGAAAGCCUGACGGAGCAACGCCGCGUGAGUGAUGAAGGUCUUCGGAUCGUAAAACUCUGUUAUUAGGGAAGAACAUAUGUGUAAGUAACUGUGCACAUCUUGACGGUACCUAAUCAGAAGGCCACGGCUAACUACGUG